GCCUCAGUAGCUCAGUUUGGUAGAGCACCUGAUUCGUAAUCAGGGGGUCGCAGGUUCGAAUCCUGUCUGGGGCA
rnacentral:tRNA from 1 species